rnacentral:misc_RNA from 1 species
UACGAAGGGCCCGAGCGUUAAUCGGAAUCACUGGGCUUAAAGAGUGCGUAGGCGGACAUGUAAGCAUCUUGUGAAAUCCCACGGCUCAACCGUGGAACUGCUGGGUGAACUACAUGUCUUGAGGUUGGUAGAGGUUACCGGAACUCUAGGUGGAGCGGUGAAAUGCGUAGAUAUCUAGAGGAACGCCAAAGACGAAGGUAGGUAACUGGGCCACAUCUGACGCUGAGGCACGAAAGCGUGGGGAGCAAACGGG